UAACUACCCCUGCAAAUCGAUCGCAUUUGGUUUAAACAAUAACAAAACGUUACUGGCUGAUCUUGAAUAUGGAUGGAUUCAUGUUCUUGACCCUGCUAGAUCAUGAAGACCGCACGUUGCAGGUUCUGACAUAACUGAACCUGGCCAAUGGUAACGCCUCAGUGGCAUAACAGAAAAUUGGUCCCAAAUUGAGGUGCAGUGCGGGAGCCCGG
rnacentral:lncRNA from 1 species